GUCUAUGGCCAUACCAACCUGAACGCGCCUGAACUCAUCUAAUCGUGGAAGGUAAGCAGGGUUGGGCCCGGUUAGUACUUGAAUGGGAGGCCGCCUGGGAAUAACGGUUUCUGUAGUCU
ensembl:rRNA 5S_rRNA 5S ribosomal RNA